rnacentral:rRNA from 1 species
AUUAGAUACCCUAUUAUUUUUAAUGUAAAAUUUUAAACUUGAGUAUUAGUAGAUAUGAUCUUGAAACUUAAAGAAUUUGGCGGUAUUAUAAUCUGUUUAGAGGAAUCUGUUAUGUAAUUGAUAAUCCGCAUUGAAUCUUACUUGUAUUAAUUCUUGUAUACCGCUGUUUUGUGAAAAUAUUUUUAGAUAAUUUUCUUAAUAUAAAAUUAAAUAGGAUUUCAAGUCAAGGUGCAGUUAUAUAUAAGGCUAAUAAUGGAUUACAAUAAAAUUUAUUUAUAUGGAUUAUAAUUGUAAAAUAAUUAUGAAGGUGGAUUUAAUUGUAAAUUAAUGAAGAUUUUUUAAUUGACUUUGGCUCUAUAAUAUGUACACAUCGCCCG